AGUUAUUCAUACAUAUAAGUAGGAAACUUGUGAAGUGAUGUGAUAAUUCGAACUAAAAGGGCCAUUUUCCCGUAGGACUUAAUUCGUGUUAACGGGGAAAACUUACUGAGCAGAUGAAUAUCAGCUCCAGACAGAAGUUGAUAAAAAAUAUGGAAAUUUCUAUCGUGCGAGCCCAAGCUUAUAAUCCUUGCCUGCAAUGCAAAUGUGUUUAAUAAUCCAGAAGAUUAACAUUUUAGACUGUCAAAAUUUCAACGAACGAUGCAACGGAUAACUUUUUUUUAAGUCAAAUAACGGAAUAAAGCUCUAAAGCGCU